rnacentral:rRNA from 1 species
UGAUCCAGCCAUGCCGCGUGUGUGAAGAAGGCCUUCGGGUUGUAAAGCACUUUCAGUGAGGAAGAAAGCCUUGAGGUUAAUACCCUCGAGGGAGGACAUCACUCACAGAAGAAGCACCGGCUAACUCCGUGCCAGCAGCCGCGGUAAUACGGAGGGUGCGAGCGUUAAUCGGAAUUACUGGGCGUAAAGCGCGCGUAGGCGGCUUGAUAAGCCGGUUGUGAAAGCCCCGGGCUCAACCUGGGAACGGCAUCCGGAACUGUCAGGCUAGAGUGCAGGAGAGGAAGGUAGAAUUCCCGGUGUAGCGGUGAAAUGCGUAGAGAUCGGGAGGAAUACCAGUGGCGAAGGCGGCCUUCUGGACUGACACUGACGCUGAGGUGCGAAAGCGUGGGUAGCAAACAGGAUUAGAUACCCUGGUAGUCCACGCCGUAAACGAUGUCGACUAGCCGUUGGGCUCCUUGAGAGCUUUGUGGCGCAGUUAACGCGAUAAGUCGACCGCCUGGGGAGUACGGCCGCAAGGUUAAAACUCAAAUGAAUUGACGGGGGCCCGCACAAGCGGUGGAGCAUGUGGUUUAAUUCGAUGCAACGCGAAGAACCUUACCUACCCUUGACAUCGAGAGAACUUUCCAGAGAUGGAUUGGUGCCUUCGGGAGCUCUCAGACAGGUGCUGCAUGGCUGUCGUCAGCUCGUGUUGUGAAAUGUUGGGUUAAGUCCCGUAACGAGCGCAACCCUUGUCCCUAUUUGCCAGCGAUUCGGUCGGGAACUCUAGGGAGACUGCCGGUGACAAACCGGAGGAAGGUGGGGACGACGUCAAGUCAUCAUGGCCCUUACGGGUAGGGCUACACACGUG